rnacentral:misc_RNA from 1 species
AGGAAGUAGCUUUAUUGUUUUGUACAUGAAAGAGGGCUGCUCAGCUUCCGCAAGAGUAGGGCACUGAGUUUGCCAAUCGAAAACCUUAACCUCCCAUUCUUUAUAAGCAUCAGGGACAACGGAUUCCGGAAGUUCAAUUGGCGUUCCUCCAGAAGAAAAAUCCGCACCAUAUCCAUCCCACUCGCCGGAGACGUUUUUAGCAAAAUCGGACCAUCCACUACCAGGAGCAGAACUGGAGCUCUGACUUUGAACAUGAGCAUCGGAAAGAGCAGUUUUAGAGACGACAGAAGAAGCCGCCGGAGUAAGAGCAGGAGCGGCGUUUAUCCCGAUGUUCGAAGACGAACGACGAUUACAAU